UAAUACGGAGGUGGCAAGCGUUGUUCGGAAUUACUGGGCGUAAAGGGCGCGUAGGCGGCAAGGCAAGUCAGGUGUGAAAGCCCCGAGCUUAACUCGGGAAUUGCAUCUGAAACUGCUGUGCUUGAGUUCUGGAGGGGGUAGUGGAAUUCCCAGUGUAGCGGUGAAAUGCGUAGAUAUUGGGAGGAACACCUGCGGCGAAGGCGGCUACCUGGACAGAAACUGACGCUGAGGCGCGAAAGCUAGGGGAGCGAACGGGAUUAGAUACCCCGGUAGUCCUAGCCGUAAACGAUGGGCACUUGGUGUUGGGGGUAUUGAGUCCCCCAGUGCCGGAGUUAACACGUUAAGUGCCCCGCCUGGGGAGUACGGUCGCAAGACUG
rnacentral:rRNA from 1 species